AGUCAGCUGUCUUAACCGUGCGUGGCUUGUGUACUGAAACACAUAUGAGCUUCAUCACUGUGUCUGUCACACCACUCUGUUCCUCUCUCGAGCUUGAACUGAUGGUAGAACAUUUUUAACUGUAUUUACAUUUAUUUUGAAAGAUGAAGCUCUGGAUUAUGGAAAAGGGUGUUACAUUUCCGAUGAGUGCUUGCAGUGUUCGGCCAAUCACAAUGCACUGGGUCAGUUGGCCAAUCAGAGCAGACUGCGCUUGCCAGAAGGAGGGACUUUGUAGAAAACAAUGCGUUUGAGAGAGACGGUGCAUAGAGGACCUACAAUAAUGUACAGUAUUUGAAAAAUAAUGUUUUUUUUUUUAACAUUAAAGCAUGUCAACAUAUUCUGUUACACCAAAUAUGCAAAAAAAAAAAAAAAAAAAUCAAGGCAAUAUCAAGACCCCUUUAAAAUUCUAAUAUUAUUUCACAAAUUUUUUUUUUUUUUAAAUCAAAUGCAGUCUUGGCCAGCACUGAUACCUUACUGACCCCAGACUUUGGAACAGUAAUGUUUAUAUAUUUGGUAAAUAAAAUUAACAUUACAAUUUAGGUAUUUGACAUAAGUGUUCAGAAUGCUGUUUAUAUGCUUAGAAAUGGCCUCAAAAUGCCCCUGAAACUUGCUGUCUGCAACCCUAUCAAAAAAGAGCUGCAAUCCAUUUUUGAGAACCACUGCCCUCAAACAUUUAGCAAUGGCAUGUGCAUAAACACAAACAAACAUGUAAAUACAAUCUGACUUAUAUUCUAUUGCAUUCAAAUUCAAUCAGAGUGGAUCUGCAUGCCUGCAAGACACUGUAGAUGAAGGCUCUACAGUAUUAGGCAGAGGCCUCAGUGCUCAGGGGAAUUCCUCUGACAUCUGAUCUGCUCCAUCUAGAUGCCUGAUGGAGGGAAGGGCCAGCUGGUGGCCCUCACACACUACUGGGGAUGAACAACUACAUUGUGCAUCCAUUAAACUUAUAUAAUGAAGAGAGAAGCACAAUUAAAAACAUUAAAGAUCGUAAUUUACUAUAUAUAUAUACCCUCACAUGUCAAUUCCUAUUAAACCAGGAUAACAACAUUAGCUGAGAGAUUAUAUAUUUAGUGAUGUGGAAUAUCAAACAAAUCCCUGUUUUGGGGUUUUCAUUAGCAGUCAUGUGAGAGAAUGGAUAUGUCUGUAAUUGAGAAGGGAAAAGCUGAUCUCUGUGCUGAUACUAAAGGGAUCUGAUGUGAAGGAGAUUAAUGAAAGCCCCCAUUUGUCUGUUUCCAUACCCGCCCACUAGGUGAGUCUCCCCCCAACAGAAGCUAGGGGAGGAUUACUAGUUUAAAUCCCAGGGGCUGAAACAAUUACACUGUUUAGACUGAAAGAAACACACAAGAUGGAGGCCAUAACAGGUUUUAGAGGCUGAGGCAUGUUUAUGGUGCAGAGGCACCAUUACUAUUGCUAUUACAUCAUGUGUCCCAGCUUGCAACAAGAGAAGUGGGCUACUAUUUAAAUAUAUUAGAUCUUACAUUUUCAACUAAGGUAGAUCCAUAUCUAGUGACCAGAAUGUUAUGGAGACUUGGGAUGGUAGGGUGUGUUGUCCUGUAAGCAACCAAGCUACCAAUUACCCUGAACCACCUUAGUGACUCAAAAGACCCUACUAACUACUAGCAACAGACUAACAACCACUCAGAACUCGCUAGCACAGGGGUAUCCAAACUCGUGUCUUGGAGAGACACUAUUCUGCAUAGUUUAGCACCAAAUUACCUCGACACACCUGCCUAGAAGUUUCUAGUAUGCCUAGCAAGACCUUGAUUAGUUGGUUUAGGUGUGUUUUGGAGCUAAACUUCAAAAACUCCAGACCAGGUUUGGACACCUCUGCCCUAGCAACCCCUUAGUGACCCAAAAUACUCUACUAACUACCUAGCAACAGACUAACAACCACCUAGAACUCCCUAGCAAUGAACCAGAACACCUUAUCAGUAAAUGGCAACCAUUCAGAACACCCUAGCAAUGCCCUUGCAAUACCGUAUUAACCACCCAUAACUCAAAACAACCUCUUAUUGAUGACCCAAGAUACCCUACUAACUGCCAAAAGCCUAGCCACACGAAACUCCAUAGAAACAAACACUAUAGUAACACCCUAGCAACCGCCAAGAACACCUUAGCAAAUCUCUAGCAAGUCUAGCAAGCACAAGUAACAUUUUCUUCAUAAGUUGUAAAAAAUAUUGAAUGUUUGAGGUUAUUUAGAGAACCAUCUAUGUGCGGGAUAAGCUUCACCUUUAUCAAAAAAAAACUGCUGAACCUAAGUAGCAGAACUGUGUCGAAUAGGGAAACAUGUUCAUCCCAAACACCACAUGUUAUAGAAUACUAACAAUUAUAAAUGAUUUACUGAUAUUAUAAGCAGUUUAUCCCAUCUGAGAGGAUGUGGAUGGAUACUUAGUGAGCAUAAUCUCUGCUGUGCUGAUUUUGGACUUGGACAAAGACAUACAGCAUAACAGUCUGUCUGGAACACUGAGCAAGAGAUGAUCCAAGCUCUUUAUCUCACUAAUGUGUGAGUGUGUGUGUGUGUGUGUGUGUGUGUGUGUGUCUUUUGUGAUCCAAAAUCAGGUCAUUCACUGAUUGAUGCCUGAGGUCUUCCUAGAUCGAGAACCAGGCAGACUUUAGUGCAGCAGAAAACAGAAAGGGAAGACAGGAAGGGAGUGUUUGACUAACUAUACGGGAACACAUGCCAUAUUAUGAUAACCACCACCUGGAAACCACACUUCCUGAAAUAUGCUCAACAUCCUUUUUUCUAGAAAGCUUGCAAUAAAACCUCUCUAGCCGUAACUAGUAUUAUUAUCUUGCAUCAAAUCCUCCAGUUGAUAAUUAUGAAUGUCCAGUGUUUGUGUUUUCUGUGUUUCUCCUGAAGCCCUGUGUGAGCGGCUAAGACAAUAGAGCUCCGCCACAGCUGUGUUUACCACUUUGGCCCCAUUUCCACCUCUCGAGGCAGGCUGCUUUUAAAAAACCUUUUCGAAAAACAUACAGAGGCCCUAACGUAUGCAGAGACACUCACUAAGUGUAAGGUUGAGGCCAUCUCAGGAGAUUGUUUGUUAUUCCGGUGACUUGGCUGGCAGGAGCUCUGCGGUAGACGCUCUCACAGCUUCUGUGAUUGUACCGCUGAGGCCCACAUGAGGUUACCAGACUGUUUGUCUUGAUGAGAGGACGAGAUUUCAAAGUCUGCUUGAAAAGCAAAAAGUUCACUGUAGAGUCAACAAACACAGUCCUGCCCCAAACUCAUGCUAUUGGUCAAGCUAAAAUGUAUCAUGUUGUGCUGGUCAGGAUGUUUAAACAAACAGAAUAAUGUUUUGAUAGCGCCACAGAUGCUGUGUUACGUUUUCUGGCAUAAUUAUCUCUUAAUUUGAAUAAAUAAUUUCUGCACUUUAAAUAAUAACAUGAAACUUUAAUUUAACAUAAUAUAUAUUUUUUUUGCAGUACAGUAAUACGUUUUUUGUUUUCAUACAUACGUACAUAUGUGACGAGUGGGGCGGGGCGGGGCGGGGCCGAGGGACGUUGGAGCAGGAGCGAGGCCGGUGGAGUGAUUGGGAAAUGAGCGACACCUGCUCGACCCACCGGUCUCGAGUCCCACGGAGGAGAUGGAGGGAUAUAAAACUGGAGCGACAACGGUGACAGACGAGAGAGGACCAGGCCUGGGUUUUAGUUUGUGUUUUGGUUUUAUUUGUGCACGUCAGUCGUCCGUGAGGGGCUGACGCGCUGUUUUGUGUUUAUUUUGAUAAUUAAAGUUUAUAUUUGAUUA